AUUCAAUAAAAAAUCAACACAUCAUCUAAAAAAAAGUGAACUUUUCUUUAUUCAAAAUAGUAAAAUGUGCGAACUGCUGUCCAUGGUUAAACCUCUUUUCAUUCAAAAUUUUUAACCAAGCUUGGUACCAGUGAACCUUUUUUCCAAUAAUGGAUGAUGAUAUGUUGACUUAAUUUAUUGGAUAGUCUAAGAUAUACAUGGU
rnacentral:lncRNA from 1 species